GACGAACGCUGGCGGCGUGCUUAACACAUGCAAGUCGUACGGUAAGGCCCUUUCGGGGGUACACGAGUGGCGAACGGGUGAGUAACACGUGAGUAACCUGCCCACAACUUUGGGAUAACGCUAGGAAACUGGUGCUAAUACUGGAUAUGUGCCCCUGCUGCAUGGUGGGGGUUGGAAAGCUCCGGCGGUUGUGGAUGGACUCGCGGCCUAUCAGCUUGUUGGUGGGGUAGUGGCCUACCAAGGCGGCGACGGGUAGCCGGCAUGUGAGGGUGACCGGCCACAUUGGGACUGAGAUACGGCCCAGACUCCUACGGGAGGCAGCAGUGGGGAAUAUUGCACAAUGGGCGCAAGCCUGAUGCAGCAACGCCGCGUGCGGGAGGACGGCCUUCGGGUUGGAAACCGCGUUCAGCAGGGACGAAGCUUUUUGUGACGGUACCUGCAGAAGAAGCACCGGCUAACUACGUG
rnacentral:rRNA from 1 species